rnacentral:rRNA from 1 species
UUGCACGAGUUUAGACUCGUAGCAUAUAGCUCAGUAACACGUGGCCAAACUACCCUACAGACCGCGAUAACCUCGGGAAACUGAGGCCAAUAGCGGAUAUCACUCUCAUGCUGGAGUGCCGAGAGUGAGAAACGUUCCGGCGCUGUAGGAUGUGGCUGCGGCCGAUUAGGUAGAUGGUGGGGUAACGGCCCACCAUGCCGAUAAUCGGUACAGGUUGUGAGAGCAAGAGCCUGGAGACGGUAUCUGAGACAAGAUACCGGGCCCUACGGGGCGCAGCGGGCGCGAAACCUUUACACUGCACGACAGUGCGAUAGGGGGACUCCGAGUGUGAGGGCAUAUAGCCCUCGCUUUUCUGAACCGUAAGGUGGUACAGGAACAAGGACUGGGCAAGACCGGUGCCAGCCGCCGCGGUAAUACCGGCAGUCCAAGUGAUGGCCGAUAUUAUUGGGCCUAAAGCGUCCGUAGCUUGCUGUGUAAGUCCAUUGGGAAAUCGACCAGCUCAACUGGUCGGCGUCCGGUGGAAACUACACAGCUUG